GUGGCUUUAUUUCAGUUGGGAGAAUGCCAGACUGAAGCCAAACUUCAAUCCAACACAUCGUGUUAAUCUGGAAGUCGGGUGUUCAAACCACUCAAGCCACA
rnacentral:tRNA from 1 species